ACCUACGGCCAUGCCACCCUGAACACACCUGAUCCCGUCUUAUCUUGGAAGCUAAGCACAGUCGGGCUUGGUUAGUACCUGGAUGGGAGACCACCUAGGAAGACCAGGUACUAUAUAGGCU
ensembl:rRNA 5S_rRNA 5S ribosomal RNA